UACGUAGGUGGCAAGCGAUACUCGGAAUCACUGGGCGUAAAGCGCAGGUAGGCGGUUUGGUAAGUCUGUUGUGAAAGCUCCCGGCUUAACUGGGAGAGGUCAACGGAAACUACCAGGCUAGAGUGCGGUAGAGGUAGCUGGAAUUCCCGGUGUAGCGGUGAAAUGCGUAGAUAUCGGGAGGAAUACCUAUGGCGAAAGCAGGCUACUGGACCGUCACUGACUCUGAUCUGCGAAAGCUAGGGGAGCAAACAGG
rnacentral:rRNA from 1 species